rnacentral:rRNA from 1 species
CACGUAGGAGGCGAGCGUUGUCCGGAAUCAUUGGGCGUAAAGGGCGCGUAGGCGGCGGGGUAAGUCUGGUGUGAAAUCUCGGAGCUCAACUCCGAAAUUGCACUGGAUACUGCUCUGCUAGAGGGCUGGAGAGGAGAUCGGAAUUCACGGUGUAGCAGUGAAAUGCGUAGAUAUCGUGAGGAAGACCAGUGGCGAAGGCGGAUCUCUGGACAGCUCCUGACGCUGAGGCGCGAAGGCUAGGGGAGCAAACGGG